AACGAACGCUGGCGGCAGGCCUAACACAUGCCAGUCGAGCGGACCUUUCGGGGUCAGCGGCGGACGGGUGAGUAACGCGUGGGAAUAUGCCCUUCUCUACGGAAUAGUCCUGGGAAACUGGGGGUAAUACCGUAUACGCCUUUGGGGGAAAGAUUUAUCGGGGAAGGAUUAGCCCGCGUUGGAUUAGGUAGUUGGUGGGGUAAUGGCCUACCAAGCCGACGAUCCAUAGCUGGUUUGAGAGGAUGAUCAGCCACACUGGGACUGAGACACGGCCCAGACUCCUACGGGAGGCAGCAGUGGGGAAUCUUAGACAAUGGGGGCAACCCUGAUCUAGCCAUGCCGCGUGAGUGAUGAAGGCCUUAGGGUUGUAAAGCUCUUUCAGCUGGGAAGAUAAUGACGGUACCAGCAGAAGAAGCCCCGGCUAACUCCGUG
rnacentral:rRNA from 1 species